AUCCUCUCAAAUACAGUAGGCUUUUCCAAUCCGUUGUUGGCUGGAACAGAACAUAGCAGCUGACCCUGCCUGGAAUAAAACGAAUUCCUCCUCUCUGACAAUCUCUUUGAACUAGGACCCUGAGGUUGGUUCUUCAGGGUCCAAAUGAAGCAUCAGCCCUUUUAGGGGCUCGGGCCAGUUGGCCUUUUGAGGGAAGCUCCAUCGUCCGCUCGACCAGUUGUCAGACUUGAGUUGGACUUGACACUAUCUGGCUUGCUGAUUGCAGAUCUGGAAACUUCUCACAUCCCAUAAUUAUAUCCAACAGAUACUGAAUUCACAAAGAAAGCUGAUGCCAUGAGAAUUUCCAACACAAGCAAUACAGAGAAUCAAGCUUACCAGGAGCAGAGGGCACUGCAACUAGGAACAGACCAAAGAGCAUAGUGGUUGAGAGUGCAUCUGAAUCAAUAAAAUACUUGACCAAUUGAAUUAUUCAGCCUACUUCUUGGAUUGGAUACUACAAUGCAACUGAAGAAAGUUUCAAAUAGUUUGGAAACAUGUGGAGAUGCGUGUUCCAGGUCAGUAGACAGCUGUCCUUCGUGAAGGAAUCAGACCACCAAGUCCCUGUGUUUACGGCUCUGUUAGCCUCAGCGCUCCUGAGACUAUCACAAUUUUGUGCAUCCAAGUGGCAAAGGGGAGGAGGUUGAAGGCUUCGUAUGAGUUUCGUUCCUGAAAACGAUCUGUGUCACUUAACAUCACACAUUGUUGGUUUAAUAUGUGUCAUAUGAGCACUUGAAACUGCAAAGAAGCCAGACAAACACAGCCCUCACACCGGUCCAAGAAGAAAAGCAAGUAGAUGGCCAGCUGCCUAGAACGUGGCUGCAGAGACGCUCACCCAGCCAGCCAAGGAAGGGCUGUGCGGCGUCCUCCUCAGUCCCUGCCUGGACUGUAUCUACAAUGGACUGCAGUGUUGACCAGCUCCAAAUCAUGGAUGUAAUCAUGCAAUUAAUUCAUUCCAAAAUUUCCUUUGGAAAAAAAAAAGAAUUCUGAAAAAAUGAAAUUAGUCUUUGAAGACAAUACAACUUACUGAUAAAAUCUAAAGUUUUCAAAGUUUUAAUUUACAGUUUAAUAUUCUUUCAACCACAAUUCAUAAACUAGUAUUUGAUUUUCAUCGCAAGCUCUUUCUUGUAUUUAUUAAAGUUAAAAAUUAAUAACCACUAGAAGUUUGGGGAAAUGAUAAAAAGUUAAGAAUUUUGUCUAUUAAGAAUACAUUAUAUUACAUUAUUUUGAUAUAUUUGAUGCUACAGUAUAUGAAGUUAUACUCAAAGAUUUCAAGGAAAGAGACAAUAUGGUAACUACUUUUAUGUCAGGAUUGUCUUGUGGUGAAACACUACUUUGCUUAAAUGGUUAUGUUUUGAUCUGCGCUGUUUUGCUGUUAUGCCCUCUUUUAUCUCAAUCUCCAUUUUAUUAUUUACUUUUUUAUUUUUAUCCUUUUAAUUAAGGGAAAAAUAAAUUUAAAAAUAGCAGGAUAUAUUAUAGUAACCCACUUUGACUUUCCAUUAUCUUGAUUUAAAGCCCUUUAUUGCUCUCACCAUCUUGUUUUGACUGAUGUUCCUCUAUUCUGUUUUGCUUGAUGGUACCAGGUUCGAAAGUUUAGGCAACAGCUGUGAAGAUAGUGGGAUUCAUUAUGAUGCCCAUUCUGGUUGACUAUUAUCUACUUUUGAAGACCUAUAAUGUCUCCGAUGUUUUGGUUUUUUUGGUUUUGUUCUUUACUGUUUUGUUCAAUUUUAUUAUAACUGAUGAUAUAGGCAAUUCUAUUAGAGAUAACGGGAGGCAUUAUGGUAACCAUCGUUGAUCACCUUGUAUUAUGCUUUUACAUUAUCUAUUAUGUCCAUCCUUUUGAUUUGACUGGCUCUGUUCUGUUAUGUCACAUUUGGUUCUACUCUCUUCCAAAAAAGUAAUAAGAACUGUGGGACCAACAAAACCCAAAAUGGGUAAUUGUCAUUGUACAAAAGAGAGGAAAAGAAAGUGCUCUAAACGAUAUAACUACAUGUAUAUUUAAGUGUAUAAGAUAGAUAAUGAUAUUACUGAGUUUUGUUGGAUCGUUGAAUAGAACUGUUUGCAAUCUCACUGUUGGAAUGUUCACUUUAUAAGCUUUAAUUUUGUAACUUGAACAAUUAUUUCUAAGAUGACAAUAUGUAAUCCAUUAACUAGUGAUUUCCUACUGUUAAUUUUUUUCUGUAAUCUGUAUAACUUGUACCCUUUCUCUGCUUUUUUUUCUUUUUCUCCUUAAAUAAAAUUUUUUAAAAAAGAAUACAUUAUAGGAAAUAAGUAAGGUGGUCAAUAAUUUAAAAUCAGACAGCUUCAACUUUGUAAUGAAGACUACUUUUAAAUGUAAUCUCACUCUUAGCUGACUCACACUUCCUAUACUUGACUAAAUGUAGCAAUAACGUUUAUAAAUACAUAAGAAUCUAAGUACUUUCCUUUUUUUGUAAACUGUAAUAUGAUCUUUUCAUUCUGUACAACCAGUGAUUUCAAGUACCAAAUGAAAUUAAUGACUACUUAUUUUCAGCAGGAAGUGUUCAAUACCAAUUAUGUUAAAGAAACAUUGUCAUUUUCUUGGCAGACUCUUUUUCAUAUGGACACAAAGAACAUUACUUCUA